rnacentral:rRNA from 1 species
AACGAACGCUGGCGGCAGGCUUAACACAUGCAAGUCGAACGCAUCGCAAGAUGAGUGGCAGACGGGUGAGUAACGCGUGGGAAUCUACCUAGUUCUACGGAACAACAGUUGGAAACGACUGCUAAUACCGUAUACGCCCUACGGUGGAAAGAUUUAUCGGAAGUAGAUGAGCCCGCGUAAGAUUAGCUAGUUGGUGGGGUAAUGGCCUACCAAGGCGACGAUCUUUAGCUGGUCUGAGAGGAUGAUCAGCCACACUGGGACUGAGACACGGGCCAGACUGCUACGGGAGGCAGCAGUGGGGAAUAGUGGACAAUGGGCGCAAGCCUGAUCCAGCCAUGCCGCGUGAGUUAUGAAGGCCUUAGGGUUGUAAAGCUCUUUCACCGAUGAAGAUAAUGACGGUAGUCGGAGAAGAAGCCCCGGCUAACUUCGUGCCAGCCGCCGCAGUAACAC